rnacentral:rRNA from 1 species
AAUCAAUAAGCGGAGGAAAAGAAACCAACAGGGAUUGCCCCAGUAACGGCGAGUGAAGCGGCAACAGCUCAGAUUUGAAAUCUGCCCUCGCGGACCGAGUUGUAAUCUGUAGAGGAUGCUUCUGGCAAGGCGCCGUCCGAGUUCCCUGGAACGGGACGCCGGAGAGGGUGAGAGCCCCGUACAGGCGGACGCCGAGCCUCUGUGAAGCUCCUUCGACGAGUCGAGUAGUUUGGGAAUGCUGCUCAAAGCGGGAGGUACAUUUCUUCUAAAGCUAAAUAUAGGCCAGAGACCGAUAGCGCACAAGUAGAGUGAUCGAAAGAUGAAAAGCACUUUGAAAAGAGGGUUAAAAAGCACGUGAAAUUGUUGAAAGGGAAGCGCCUGUGACCAGACUCGCGCCCGGCGGAUCAUCCGGCGUUCUCGCCGGUGCACUCCGCCGGGCUCGGGCCAGCAUCGGUCCUGGCGGGGGGAUAAAGGCGGCGGGGAUGUGGCUCCCCCCGUGGAGUGUUAUAGCCCGCCGCUCAAUGCCCCCGCCGGGACCGAGGACCGCGCAUUCGCAAGGAUGCUGGCGUAAUGGUCACCAGCGACCCGUCUUGAAACACGGACCAAGGAGUCAAGCAUUAGGGCGAGUGUUUGGGUGUAAAACCCGCACGCGAAAUGAAAGUGAACGUAGGUGGGAGCCUCGGCGCACCAUCGACCGAUCCUGAAGUCUUCGGAUGGAUUUGAGUAAGAGCCUUACCGCUUGGACCCGAAAGAUGGUGAACUAUGCUUGUGUAGGGUGAAGCCAGAGGAAACUCUGGUGGAGGCUCGCAGCGGUUCUGACGUGCAAAUCGAUCGUCAAACAUGAGCAUGGGGGCGAAAGACUAAUCGA